GCCCAGACUCCUACGGGAGGCAGCAGUGGGGGAUAUUGGACAAUGGGGGGAACCCUGAUCCAGCGAUGCCGCGUGAGGGAAGAAGGUUUUCGGAUUGUAAACCUCUGUGGACAGGGACGAUAAUGACGGUACCUGUCAAGAAAGCCACGGCUAACUACGUGCCAGCAGCCGCGGUAAUACGUAGGGGGCAAGCGUUAUCCGGAUUUACUGGGUGUAAAGGGAGCGUAGACGGCAAUGCAAGUCUGGAGUGAAAGCCCGAGGCCCAACCAUGGGACUGCUCUGGAAACUGUGUAGCUUGAGUGCAGGAGGGGUAAGCGGAAUUCCUAGUGUAGCGGUGAAAUGCGUAGAUAUUAGGAGGAACACCGGUGGCGAAGGCGGCUUACUGGACUGUAACUGACGUUGAGGCUCGAAAGCGUGGGGAGCAAACAGGAUUAGAUACCCCAGUA
rnacentral:rRNA from 1 species